rnacentral:rRNA from 1 species
GCCUCGAUGAGAGGACGGAGAAGGCUAAAUCAGCCUGGCGUUGGUUGUCCAGGUGAAAGGAUGUAGGCAUGUAUCUUAGGCAAAUCCGGGUUACUCUAUGUUGAGAUCUGAUAGCAAGCUGUACUUGUAUAGCGAAGUGGUUGAUGCCAUGCUUCCAGGAAAAGUCUCUAAGCUUCAGUUACACAGGAAUCGUACCCGAAACCGACACAGGUGGUCAGGUCGAGUAGACCAAGGCGCUUGAGAGAACUCUGCUGAAGGAACUAGGCAAAAUGGUACCCUAACUUCGGGAGAAGGUACGCUGUUGUUGGUGAUGGAACUCGCUUCCUGAGCUGACGACAGCCGCAGAAACCAGGCCGCUGCAACUGUUUAUUAAAAACAUAGCACUCUGCAAACACGAGAGCGGACGUAUAGGGUGUGAUGCCUGCCCGGUGCUGGAAGGUUAAUUGAUGGGGUCAGCGUAAGCGAAGCUCUUGAUCGAAGCCCCAGUAAACGGCGGCCGUAACAAUAACGGUCCUAAGGUAGCGAAAUUCCUUGUCGGGUAAGUUCCGACCUGCACGAAUGGCAUAAUGAUGGCGGCGCUGUCUCCAGCAGAGGCUCAGUGAAAUCGAAAUCGCUGUGAAGAUGCAGUGUACCCGCGGCUAGACGGAAAGACCCCGUGAACCUUUACUGCAGCUUGACACUGAACUUUGACCUUACUUGUGUAGGAUAGGUGGGAGGCUUUGAAGCUGGAACGCUAGUUCCAGUGGAGCCGUCCUUGAAAUACCACCCUGGUAAUGUUGAGGUUCUAACUCUGUCCCGUGAUCCGGGACGAGGACCGUGUCUGGUGGGUAGUUUGACUGGGGCGGUCUCCUCCUAAAGAGUAACGGAGGAGUACGAAGGUGCGCUCAGCGUGGUCGGAAAUCACGCGUAGAGUAUAAAGGCAAAAGCGCGCUUAACUGCGGGACCCACAAGUCGAGCAGGUACGAAGGUAGGUCUUAGUGAUCCGGUGGUUCUGUAUGGAAGGGCCAUCGCUCAACGGAUAAAAGGUACUCUGGGGAUAACAGGCUGAUACCGCCCAAGAGUUCAUAUCGACGGCGGUGUUUGGCACCUCGAUGUCGGCUCAUCUCAUCCUGGGGCUGAAGCAGGUCCCAAGGGUAUGGCUGUUCGCCAUUUAAAGAGGUACGCGAGCUGGGUUUAGAACGUCGUGAGACAGUUCGGUCCCUAUCUACCGUGGGCGCUGGAAAUUUGAGAGGAUCUGCUCCUAGUACGAGAGGACCAGAGUGGACGAACCUCUGGUGUACCGGUUGUGACGCCAGUCGCAUCGCCGGGUAGCAAUGUUCGGAAGGGAUAACCGCUGGAAGCAUCUAAGCGGGAAGCCUACCUCAAGAUAAGAUUUCCCUAGGACUUUAUGUCCUCUAAAGAGCCGUUCGAGACUAG